rnacentral:lncRNA from 1 species
GGGAGGAGUGGUCGGUGGUGCCGGGGGCGGCGUGGACGUCGGAGCCGGAGGAGGAGUGGCGGUGGGCGCGGGAGGCGGGUUGCCUGCCGGAGGCGCCUGGGGCGCCGGCGGCGGGUUGCCGGCUGGAGGCGCCUGGGGUGGGGAGUUGGACGGUGGCGCGUUCGGCGUCGGCGGGGGCUGCGCCGGCGGUGACUGCUGCGCUGCGCAGGAGGCGAUCAGGAGCGCGAGCACGAGAGGGCGGAGAAGAGGCGCCAUUUUCGUUCCGUGGGUUCCUUGAGCUGAGCGAGCUCGAGCAGU